rnacentral:tRNA from 2 species
GGGUCGUUAGCUCAGUUGGUAGAGCAGUUGACUUUUAAUCAAUUGGUCGCAGGUUCGAGCCCUGCACGACCCA